rnacentral:lncRNA from 1 species
CCCUCAGACACUUCAAACGCACAAUAUCUAACACUAAACACCAGCAUCCUUCAACAGUCCACCCUUCCCCGCCCACUACUCACCAUAAUUGGCACCAUCAUCCAACCAGUUCCCAGGAGAAUGUAUCAUAAUUUAGUUAACUAGUACCAUGUAAAUGGACUGUAACAAUUUAUACUUCCACCAGCAGUGUGUGAGAGAAUUCCUGUUUCUCUAGCCAUGCCAAAUAGUUUAUCAUAACACUUUUUGUUCUCUGCCUGUUUGAAUCCGGUUGGGCAAAUUCCUUCACUACUCAUUCAAAAUACUUUCUACUAUUUUUGCUCAUUUAUUUUUCUGUGUAAAUUUCAAAGUCAUUUUUUCAACAUCCAGCUUUCCCCAACCGUGAACUAUGAUUGUGCCACUGCAUUCCAUCCUGGGUGACAGAGCAUAAGACCCUGUCUCUAAAAAACAACAAAACAGUUUUUUGAACCAAACACAUUGUUUGGAGGUAUUGUAUAUGGAAAUAUCCCCAAGUUAGGCAUUGCCUGAGGUUUUUGCCUUGCGGAUUUCUUACGUUCUAUUUGUUUGGAUAGUGUGAGACAAACAAUCCAAAAACUAUAGGUGGCUUUAUAGAACAUUCUUUACUAAACAC